UAAUUGCACAAAACUCAAAGGUUCACUG
rnacentral:sRNA from 1 species